UUCGCGUCUGACGUUAUCCACCUCUUCCGUCCGCUCGCCCCGUUCUCCCCUCCCCGCGCUCCGGCUUCGGACCACAGUGCUCCCAUCCGCGGAUCGCCGCUUCCUCAAUAGUUUGCAAAGAGUGGUUGAUUCAUGAGGAUGGUGCUCUUGCCUAUAAACUACAGAAAGAAGAAGUGGAACAGCAUUACUCUGGAAACAAACAGCGGAAUGCACCAGUUCGCGAAGAUUUUCCACGGGCAAAGAUGAGCAGCUUAGGGAGGAAAUCGAAGCCCGCCUCAAAUACCAGCAGCUCAUCUCUCAACAGGAGGAGGAAGAUGCAAGGCUCGCUAAAGUAUUGGCAGAGCGGAUUCGAAAAAAGAUGAUGAAAGACGUCACGAUUAGCUUUUCAGGAUGAAGAAUUAGCCAGACAGGUUCAAGUAAGUUUCUUGAUGAUAUUUGACUGUCAGUUGUAUUCAAAAGAUGACAAUCAGUUCAAAAUAUUUUAAAUAAUUCAAUUAUAACUAAUGCCGAAAACGUAUAUUAAAUAAACUGAAAAAAGGAUCAUCGCUAACUGGGGAAUAGUUGAACCGCUUAUUUAAAGGAUGGCGUAAGCACUGAAAGUCAAUUUUUCGAGAAAACAUGAAAAAACUUGGUUUCUUUGAAAACUCUCCACAUUUCUGUUCUAAUAAUCAUGGGUACACAUAAUAUUAUGUAAAAUCAUGCCAGAAAUGCGUACUUCCAAUGGGAAAGCUGUGUUUUUUCUCUAGUUUGCGAAAGUGGUUCUUACCCCCAACUUAAAAUCAUAGUACAU
rnacentral:lncRNA from 1 species